rnacentral:misc_RNA from 1 species
AAGUCGUAACAAGGUUUCCGUAGGUGAACCUGCGGAAGGAUCAUUAACACUAUAAACAAAUGCGAAAGCAUUUUCGGGAUUGAGUCUGCAAAGAUUCCUUUCGAUUUUGCUUUUGCUAUCCAAACUCACCCAAACUUUAUUGAAAGUGCUGGUUUGAUUUUCGCAAGAAAAUCUAACUUUUUUCUUUCCUUUUUUUUUUUAACAAAAACCCCAAAUCUUUCUUUGCUAAUGCAAAUGACAAUUACAAAAACUUAAAAACUACUUUAACGUAACCAAACAACUCUUAGCAACGGAUAUCUUGGCUCUC